CAAAAUAGCUCAGUCAGUAGAGCACGAGGCUCUUAAUCUCAGGGUUGUGGGUUUGAGACCCACGUUGGGGA